rnacentral:hammerhead_ribozyme from 1 species
AUCCAGCUGACGUGUCCCAGAUAGGACGAGACGCGUGUUCCUGAU